GACCCAACAGGAAGACAGGAGUGAGAGAGUCAGUGACGACUUUCCAUUGGGCUCUACCUGGCACGGGUCUCUGAAUCUCUUGCCAAGCUUGGGAGACCAAACUGCCAACCAUGAGCCUACAGGUAGCACGUGCAGCACCUUACCCUCUUCAAAUGAGUCUCUCCUUAUGCCAUCACUGUUGAUAUUGCAAAGGCAACAAGCAACCAAGAGCGGUAAACUUGAAGCCGUGCCACGUGAAAUGUAGCCCUACAAGUAAAGCCUAACUAGAAAACUUCCGAGAAACAAAUGAAAAGAAGAAAUCUUUGUGGUCUUGAGUUGGUCCAAGACCAUAUUUCUUAGAUACUUCGCCAUUGCCCAACAGACUCAUAAGCUGAACUGACCAGUGUGGAUUUUAACUUACCAGCAUAAAAUGAAACUGUACAGCUUAGAAGGAAAUGUUUACAAAAUACAUGUGUGACAAAGAACCCAAACAACCUGUACCAAGAACUCUCAGAAACACAAUCCUGAGAAAACAAUCCAAUUAAAAACAGGGCCAGAGAUAUCGUUACCAAGGAAAACAUAAGAUCCCUAAGCAAUCAAGAACAAGAUCCCAAUGUCAACUCCUGGUCUCCUGCACAUGCACCCAAUAUGUGCACAUAUGUGCUUAUGUCAUCACACCCAGAUAAAAGUUCAACACUCAACCAUCCAGCUGACAAGGAAAAAUACAUCCAUGCAAAGGUUGGAACUGAAAAGUUCUGAGCAACCAUUUUGUCAUGAUCAAAUCCUCAGAACAACUCCUGUGUCUAUGGGGGUACUAAUAAGCAAAAUUCUGUUAUGAACAAAAAAAUUGAAAGAAAUAAAUCUGCAAAUCCUCCUGCUGAGUGGAA